GCGGAUGUAGCUCAGCUGGAUAGAGUACCUGGCUACGAACCAGGCGGUCGAAGGUUCGACUCCUUCCAUCCGCACCA
rnacentral:tRNA from 1 species